rnacentral:rRNA from 1 species
AGCUAAUAGAUACCCGGGUAGUCCACGCCCUAAACGAUGUCUACUAGUUGUUGGUGGAGUAAAAUCCAUGAGUAAACGCAGCUAAACGCGUGAAGUAGACCGCCUGGGGAGUACGGUCGCAAGAUUAGAACUCAAAGGAAUUGACGGGGGCCGCACAAGCGGUGGAUUAUGUGGAUUAAUUCGAUGCAACGCGAAAACCUUACCUGGCCUUGACAUGCCACUAACGAAGCAGAGAUGCAUUAGGUGCCCGUAACGGGAAAGUGGACACAGGUGCUGCAUGGCUGUCGUCAGCUCGUGUCGUGAGAUGUUGGGUUAAGUCCCGCAACGAGCGCAACCCUUGCCAUUAAUUGCCAUCAUUUAGUUGGGCACUUUAAUGGGACUGCCGGUGACAAACCGGAGGAAGGUGGGGAUGACGUCAAGUCCUCAUGGCCCUUAUGGCCAGGGGCUUCACACGUAAUACAAUGGUCGGUACAGAGAGUUGCCAACCCGCGAGGGGAGCUAAUCUCAGAAAGCCGAUCGUAGUCCGGAUUGUUCU